rnacentral:rRNA from 1 species
CUACGGGGCGCAGCAGUGGGGAAUAUUGGACAAUGGGGGAAACCCUGAUCCAGCAAUGCCGCGUGUGUGAAGAAGGCCUGCGGGUUGUAAAGCACUUUCGGUUGGGAGGACUGCUUCUAGCACUAAUAUUGUUGGAAGUUGACGUUACCUUCAGAAGAAGCACCGGCUAACUCCGUGCCAGCAGCCGCGGUAUACGGAGGGUGCAAGCGUUAAUCGGAAUGACUGGGCGUAAAGCGCGCGUAGGCGGCUAGAUCAGUCGGGUGUGAAAGCCCCGGGCUUAACCUGGGAACUGCAUCCGAUACUGUCUAGCUUGAGUACAGGAGAGAAGAGUGGAAUUCCACAUGUAGCGGUGAAAUGCGUAGAUAUGUGGAGGAACACCAAUGGCGAAGGCAGCUCUCUGGCCUGAUACUGACGCUGAGGUGCGAAAGCGUGGGGAGCAAACAGGAUUAGAUACCCUCGUAGUC